GAGAGGAUGGGGGCUGAGAGGAGCCGGGGACAGUGGUGGACUCUGGGUAGACGUCAAGGUAGAAGAAACCUAGUGGUUUUGCUGAAGGACAGAUGUUAAGGCCCCUCCCAGGGUCCUUGGGGAGCUUUCUCUGCCUCAUUUUCCACAUCAGAUGUAGAGAAGCAGUCCUGUGUGUGCUGAGGAGGGGGUGGGUCCCUCGUCAGCGGGCUUCAGAGGUGUCUGCGGGGAGCCCGGCCCGAGGCACAGCUAUGCCCCCAGAUUCCCCCAGGUCUCAGCUCUGCAGCGCCUCACACUCUCCUCCUCCCCCCGGCUAUUUUUAAAACUUAAUUUCCUUGAAAACAGGGUGGCUCAUUCAAAAGAUAAUUGGUUACAUCUUGGGCUGGGAGGAGUUCGACAUCUUGGCUGGUCCCUGCCGCCCCUGGCCCGGCUGGUGGAAGCGGGUGCAGGAACCGCAUGGCCCCUGGCAACAGGGUCACCUGGUCAGGAUGGCGACUGACGGACGAGGUUCCAAAAGGGAAUUGCAGAGAGUUCGGCCCCGAAGAAGACGACCCCAGUGGAGGCCCCAUUGAUGACUGGACAGCCGGGCCCUGGCCACGGGAAGAAGCUGGGUCAUCGGGGUGUGGACGCAUCCGGCGAAACCACCUACAAGAAGACCACGUCCUCCACCCUGAAGGGGGCCAUCCAGCUGGGCAUUGGCUACACCGUGGGCAACCUGAGCUCCAAGCCGGAGCGCGACGUGCUCAUGCAGGACUUCUACGUGGUGGAGAGCAUUUUCUUCCCCAGGACUUCAGGUUCAAGACCUACGCGCCUGUCGCCUUCCGCUACUUCCGGGAGCUCUUUGGGAUCCGGCCGGAUGACUACUUGUACUCGUUGUGCAAUGAGCCGCUCAUCGAGCUGUCCAACCCUGGUGCCAGCGGCUCCCUGUUCUACGUCACCAGCGACGAUGAGUUCAUCAUCAAGACGGUGAUGCACAAGGAGGCCGAGUUCCUGCAGAAGCUGCUGCCCGGCUACUACAUGAACCUCAACCAGAACCCACGGACGCUGCUGCCCAAGUUCUACGGACUGUACUGUGUGCAGUCGGGCGGGAAGAACAUACGCGUGGUGGUGAUGAACAACGUGCUGCCGCGCGUGGUCAGGAUGCACCUCAAGUUCGACCUCAAGGGCUCCACGUACAAGCGGCGGGCCAGCAAGAAGGAGAAGGAAAAGAGCAUCCCCACCUACAAAGACUUGGACUUCAUCCAGGACAUGCCUGAGGGGCUCAUGCUCGACGCCGACACCUUCUCCGCGCUCGUCAAGACGCUGCAGCGCGACUGCCUGGUGCUGGAGAGCUUCAAGAUCAUGGACUACAGCCUGCUCCUGGGCGUGCACAACAUCGACCAGCAGGAGCGUGAGCGGCAGGCCGAGGGCGCCCAGAGCACCGCUGACGAGAAGCGGCCGCUGGGCCAGAAGGCGCUCUACUCCACGGCCAUGGAGUCCAUCCAGGGCGGGGCCGCGCGCGGGGAGGCCAUCGAGACGGACGACACGAUGGGCGGGAUCCCCGCUGUGAACGGCCGCGGGGAGCGGCUUCUGCUACACAUUGGUAUCAUCGACAUCCUGCAGUCCUACAGGUUCAUCAAGAAGCUGGAACACACCUGGAAGGCUCUCGUCCAUGAUGGGGACACCAUCUCUGUGCACCGACCCAGCUUCUACGCCGAGCGCUUCUUCAAGUUCAUGAGCAACACGGUCUUCCGGAAGAACUCCUCCCUCAAGUCCUCGCCGUCCAAGAAGGGCCGCGGUGCCUUGCUGGCCGUCAAGCCCCUGGGGCCCACCGCCGCCUUCUCGGCCAGCCAGAUCCCCAGCGAGCGGGAGGACGCGCAGUACGACCUGCGGGGGGCCCGCAGCUACCCCACGCUGGAGGAUGAAGGCCGGCCAGACCUCCUGCCCUGCACACCGCCUUCUUUCGAGGAGGCCACCACCGCCUCCAUCGCCACGACCCUGUCCUCCACGUCCCUCUCCAUCCCAGAGCGGUCCCCCUCGGAGACAUCAGAGCAGCCGCGGUACAGGCGGCGCACGCAGUCCUCCGGACAGGAUGGCCGGCCCCAGGAGGAGGCGCAUGCGGAGGAGGACCUGCAGCAGAUCACGGUGCAGGUGGAGCCCGCGUGCAGCGUGGAAAUCGUGGUCCCCAAAGAGGAAGAUGCGGGGGAGGGGUCAUCCCCGGCCUGUGCCUCUGCUGCCGUCGAAGUGGAAACUGCCAGCCAGGCCUCAGACGAGGAGGACGCGCCCACCACAGACAUCUACUUUUUCACCGAUGGGAGGUACUGGAUUUACUCUCCCCGGCAUCGCCGACUGCGGGCCGUGACGCUGAGCUCCUCAGGGACUGUAAGUGACCGUGGCAGGCCUCCAGGGAGCCCAGCCCCGCCCCGCGCCGUGGGCAACAGGGAGCCACAGGUCCUGGCUGUUCCUCUUCCUCUGAGAAGGGACUUGGGGAAAAUGUCACUGUGGCUGAGGUCAGCCGCGCUGGCCCGUGUGGGGCUCUGUGCUGCAGGCAUCCCAUGGGGACGUUGCUUACUCCCCUCUGAGGUGGGCAUCACUGGGCCUGCGGGCACACAGCUGGGGCUCCAGGGGCUGGCCUGGCUGUGGCAGGGUCUGCAUCUGACCCCCAUCCCCUGGCCGCCCUUGCCCCUUUUCCCACCCUCCCGGGUCAGGGACGUGCCAGGUGCCCUGCUCCCACUUGUUCAGACCUCACUGCUGACGGCUCCCACGGGGUGUCUGUCCCCUGAAGGGGGUAGCGUCAUGAGUCAGCAGCGGGACUGCAAAGCCAAGCCCUUAAUUGCAGGAGAAAGGAGCUGGUGCCUCCAUACCCAUUUCACAGAUGGAGACACCGAGUCCCUGGCUCUCCAGGGAGCCCCUGAGAGUACAGGGUAGACACAAUCUGGAUCCCAAGCUUCAGGCACCUGUGUGUCUAAUAAACGCUUAUCCACCCAGCGUGCCUGGAAUGCUAUGGGGAUAUUGUGUAGCGGUGGCAUCGUUAGUACUUGUUAUUGUCAUUGUGAGCAAUAAAUGGGGGCCCAGAGAGGCCAAGUAACCUCCUAGAGGCACACAGCACUCAAACGGGCAGGACAAGGCAAAGGCCUAAAGCGAGACUUUGUGUUCUCAAGAUGAGGCCUCUUGGAGACCACACUCCAGCCCCGUCAGCAGCCCCUCUGAGCGUCACUGGGUGUCGGGCGCUGCCGGGCGAGCCUGAAAAAGGGAGACUGCUUCCACAUCCCUCCCACCAUGCUCGGUCCAGCCAGGGAUGCCGCUCCCCAGAGAUGGUCCCAGAGUCGGGUACACGUGGCGUGCAAGGGCCAUGGGGUGGGGUGCUGUGGCAGAGGCUGCCUGGAGGGGGGUUGACACGGACUUCUGAGAAGCGCGUAGGGUGUGGGGAGGCAGAAGAGGAAGGGCGGUCUUGGCUGGAGCACCGAAGAGGCAGGAGCCUGGAGGCCGACGGGAGGAGAGGAAGCGGCAAGAGGAAGGCUGGACCCCGAGGCCCGCCGUGCGGGGCAGGCGUGCCCUUGGCCCAACUUACGUGGGUCACCCAGGGCCGGCUCUUCACGGGGUUCCCUGCGGGACCCCUGUGUCAUCCCCACUCUGAGCCCAGCAGGGCAGCCACCCCAGUGUCAGGGCCUGCUGUGGCCCCAGACGGGCCCGGCCCCGCCCCCCGGGCUCCCAGGUGGGCAGGGGGCCAGGGGGGUUAUUGCUUUGUGACCCCCUGAAGGAAUGAGCAGGGCCCGAGCUGGGGUCUCGCCCUGCUGCCCCAGAUGCUUUGUGCGAACCCCUCCAUAGGUGGACACGGUUCUCGUGGGUGCACGACCUGGGCCCACACGGGUACCGGGACGGCCUGUGAGCUGCGGGGAUGGUGGGGUGGUGGGGUGGAGAGGCGGCCGGCGGGCCCCGAGGGCAGCAGGGCAGAAGCUGGUUGCUGGUGGUGCCCCAACCCCGCCGAGGAGGGGUGGGUCUUGGGGUGCCAUCGUGGGCUUAGGGGCCGUGGGACGCCCAGGGGGACGCGGCCAGGACAGGUGUGUUCUCUGGCGGCAGGGGUGGAGGUCACAGGCUGUGGGGGACGUUGAAGGAAGAGAGAACAGAAGGCGGCCGGGGGAGCCCCAAGAAUGUUCUGGUGGUGAGAGCAGACCUGGGAGGGACGAGGGGGCCGGAGGAAUGUAUGUCCUCCCCGCAGUGGGACCCAGACUGGGACCCCACCCCAGACGCAGCUGGAGGAAGACCAUCCUGUGGCCCCUCGGCGGCCAGUCCCCGCUCUGCCUGUCCCCAGGCCGGAACUUGGGCUCCGCUGCGCCCCCUCCCCAGGAAGGUGACCCCGGGCUCUUGGAGCGGGGCGGGGAGGCCUCUGCUGCUUGCUCUCUGGGUGGCGCCUGCCUGGGUCUCUCCUGAGCAAACCUGUGUGUGCCGGUGCUGAAAGGCUUCCCGGGUCAGGAAAUGGGCCGCCCCCGUCGCCACCACUCAGGGCCCCCAGCAGAGGGUCUCCAGGGUGCUGCCGGGCUAGGCUGGAGGUCAGGGUGCCAUGGCGGGGGGUGGGGGGGUGGGGGACAGCAGAGCAAACCAAGCCCCGCCCACCCUCCCCGCCUCCUGCUGUGCCGGCCCUGCCUUGACACCCCCCCACCACUCACCGCUUCCUGCUGCCCGCCCCACCGCUCUCUGGCCACUCAGCCCCAGAGGCCCGGCCCCCCGCCCCGCCGAGCCCGAGGGCCAUCCGGGUUGGGGCAGGUCCCCGUCAGGGAGAGGGCAGCGGGGGCUGAGCCGCCCACCCGUGCCGCCUCGGGGGCCCCCUCUUUUAUUUCUGUUUCUUCCUUCCUUCCUGUCGCCUCUGUCGCACCUCCUCGCACCUUGCUCUUCUUCUGCGCCCUUCCCGCACGUGCUGCCCGCCUGCCCUCCAGCCCACCGAUGAGAGGAGCUGGGUGUACUCCCCGCUUCACUAUAGCACGCAGGCCCACCCCGCCUCCGACGGCGAGAGCGACACAUAAUUCCUAUGCAGGCACUGAUGGAGCCGAGUGUCUGCUGCUGCCCCGGCUGCUCCCUGGAGGUGCUGCCCACCUGCUCAGCCCAGAGCUCGGGAGACGCCCGCCUGGCCGCCGGCCCUCACCCUCGCCCUCCCCUCGACGGCGCGGACGCUCGGGCUGCAGCGAUCCCAAUCCAGGCGACUCACCUGGCCCCAGCUCCCUGUCAGCUCCCUAUGCCUGAUACUGUGAACCCUCCUGAGUUUCCGAUCAUGUAUUUAUUUGGGGCCCUUAUUCUUUGCACAGACAUGGCAGCACACAUGUGUGUUUUUUUAGAAAAAGAAAAAGGCCAAAAAAAACACAAAACCACCACACAAUGGAAAAGAAAAAACUCCAUUCCACUGCACUUCUGGUUCUUUGCUGUGCUUGCAUGUGUCUUGCUGAGGGAACCAGGCCCUAGGCUCUGGGGACCUGCACCCCAGUGGAAUCCAUUCCAAGUCCUGGCCAGGAUGGACGGGCCCCUGGGAUGGAAGGGCCGCCGGGUCCCCAGGGCGCCUCUGGAGGCCUCCCAUCGCGCCUGCCAGGUGCUCUUGGCUCAGGGUUUUGGGCCAAGAGCCGGACACAGUCCUUGAGGGUGGCCGGGCGGUGGCUGGGGGCGCUCUCCACCCUGUCACCCCUGCCAUCUCUCAGCAUCUGUUUCCCACCUCCCCGGUGACCUUGAGCAGGAAUCACCAGGCGUGAUUAGAACCUCCAUGUGGACGUACGGCCGCCCCCUCUCAAUGGAACUCAGGGCCGUGGGCUUACCUCUCCUCCAGAAGACGGACCAAGCUGGGAGGAGGCGGCCGGGCCCUCAGCCCACGGGACUUCCCGAGAGCCGUGUCCUGGAGCAGAGCCCCACAGUCAGGUGCCCGGCCUAGAGGACCAGACCCCCUUGAGUAAGAGGACUGACGUGGGCAUCCUCUUUCUUUUUAAUGGUGGGGGCACCUGUGCCGAUUGAAGGACAGGAGAAGAAAUUCUUGGUGAAAAACAAAUUUUUUUUUUUUUUGGAUGGUCAUCUUCAGCAGGGCAACCACUGCUGGGCCCAGAGCCCCACAGGUCAGCCGCCAGGGGCCCCUGCUGUGUCCACAGCAGGCUGCUGGAGCUGGCAGCUUUGCAGGGUCUCUCCCGCCUCUGGAGAGGGACACAACAGGGAUGGUUUCCCCUGGCCCGCCCUGCCCUGCAUGGGAGGAGCUGGGAGCUAGCGUGGAGUGGAAGUUGCACCUUCUGGGAAAAUUUCUCCCCACCUUUGCCUCCCUGGUGGAGCCUGAGACAGCUGGAGAACCCACCGACCCAGGAAUUUGAUUUUUUGAGUCCAUUGCAAACUGCGUACACUGCUGUCUUCGUGCUCGGCGGGCCCCCUCCUCGCGUCCCCGGCACAGCCUGCUUCGUGCACCUGGCCAGAACCUGGUGUCUAGCUGCACCUCUCCUCCCUGGAGAACCGGGCUGCGCCCUGGGGGCUCUCCCCGCGCAGGGCCGCCAGGGACACUUCAGCACGAAGCAGCUCUGGGAAGAGGACCUGUCCGAACAAGCCUGCAGUGUCCUGGACUAGAAGCAAAACAGCGUCCUCCCCUCCUGUCCACGGAAGGUGUGUCCAGACUCCAGAACGUCCUCGCCUGGACUUCACACGGGCGCCCUCUUCAGUGCCUGCCCCGUCCUGCCCAGGGGGAGGCGGGCUGAGUGGGCAGAGGUCUGAAGGGGACGAACAGGGACUGCUGAGUCGCCCAAAAGCCGACCGGAGUCCCCGCCCAGGCCCCCAGAGGCCGCACACAGAGACACUGUGUCCCGUGGGGACCACCAGAGCAUCGGGCCCCACGUCCAGGGUGCCCUUAGCCACCUCGAGCUGCAGGAGCUGGGCCCCUCAGGCUUUCCUGAGUGAACCACGGAACAAAUGCAUCAGUCCGAUGCUGACUUGGAGAAAUUUGCAAACCUUCUGGUGAUCAAGACGUUUUCAUUUUUGUGCUAAGUCAUGAACACCCCUUUGAAGACCCCCUUUGUGUUAGUUGCAUUCUUUGUCCCUUUUUCAGAGAACUGUCACACGGAUACAAAGUGGUCUGCGGACUGGGCCGAUGGGAGGCAUGUGCUUAUGGUCAGGGCAAGGGUAGGAAGGCAGGACCUUAUUUAUCACGUGUAGUGAACUCGCGGCCUUCCCCAGACCCCCAGCAAGGAGGGCCCUGGACCCAGCCAGCUGUCGCCCCCACCCCGCCCCAGGAUGGAAGUCUGUCGACUCCUUUGUGGCGAUGUCCUGGUUCUGUCGCAGCUAGUCCCUGACGGCUGCUGUCACUGCGAACGUGGGCAUGAGUGUACAAAUGAAAGGCGUGUUCUGAGACUGACAAGGUGGAACCUCCGGUGUGUCCCCUGCUGGCCUCUGGCCUCUGCCUCCUCUCGCCCUCUCCCUCCACCACCUGGCUCAGUGCAAUACUCCCGUCCCACUGGGGCCCCCUGCCAUGGUACUGUCGCCGCAGCCCCUCGGUCCCCACUCCGGGACGAGCACCCUUGGCCACCUUCUCUGGUGGUUCAGUUGCAUCGCCUGUCCCCAUCCCAACCCCGUUUUUAUGGCCGAACUGAUUUCCAAACACAACGAAACUGCAAACCUUGUGUGUCUUAAUUCUCACCGGGGGUUCCGUGUGCUCAGCCCCCAUGGUCUGGUGUGUGACAAUCCGGGGCACAGCCUCCUCGGGCACAGGACGCCAUCCCGCUCAAACCCAGAGCCAUGGGCGCCUCUGUAACCGCAGCCACUGCUGGCCCUGUAACACUCAUAU